ACGGAAUGACAAAAUCAAUAUACCCCCAUCUUUUUGGUGGUGGAUAUGAAAACUACAAAUAAUUUAUUGGAAAACAAACAUGCUCAUUUUUGUGGGAUGCUCUGCAUUAUCAAUAUUGCGUGUACGACAUGAUUUAUUACUUAUAGUACAUAAGUGUAUAAAAUUUGCUACAAAAAAAAAAGAAUGUAAAAAGUAAGGAAAUGAAAAUAACACUUACCAGCCAAACCAAAAACGACUGCGGCAGGGACAUAGAACACCAAAUUGGAAAUACUUUGUUGAAAGGGUGAAGAGCUGCCAGUUAAUUCUACCAUUUUGUGGUUAUUUAAUUAAUUUGAAAACUUGUAAAA